UACAGAAGGGGCAAGCGUUGUUCGGAAUUACUGGGCGUAAAGGGCGCGUAGGCGGCCCGCUAAGUCGAACGUGAAAUCCCCGGGCUCAACCCGGGAACUGCGUCCGAUACUGGCAGGCUUGAAUCCGGGAGAGGGAUGCGGAAUUCCAGGUGUAGCGGUGAAAUGCGUAGAUAUCUGGAGGAACACCGGUGGCGAAGGCGGCAUCCUGGACCGGUAUUGACGCUGAGGCGCGAAAGCCAGGGGAACAAACGGG
rnacentral:rRNA from 1 species